rfam:Scleropages formosus scaffold14724, whole genome shotgun sequence.
GCGUGUGGCUGUAUAGCACUGAACAAACCCCAUCCCCUCUGCUCUCGCAAGUUAAGCUGGCUCGGGCCAGGUUUGUGCUUGGAUGGGAGACCACCUUGCAAUAGCCGGUGCCUCAGGCG